rnacentral:rRNA from 1 species
UACGUAGGGACCAAGCGUUGUUCGGAUUUACUGGGCGUAAAGGGCGCGUAGGCGGCUUAACAAGUCACUUGUGAAAUCUCCGGGCUUAACUCGGAACGGCCAAGUGAAACUGUCAAGCUAGAGUGCAGAAGGGGCAAUCGGAAUUCUUGGUGUAGCGGUGAAAUGCGUAGAUAUCAAGAGGAACACCUGAGGUGAAGACGGGUUGCUGGGCUGACGCUGACGCUGAGGCGCGAAAGCGUGGGGAGCAAACAGG